UACGUAGGGGGCAAGCGUUAUCCGGAUUUACUGGGUGUAAAGGGAGCGUAGACGGCUGUGCAAGUCAGAAGUGAAAACCCAAGGCUCAACCAUGGGACUGCUUUUGAAACUGUACAGCUGGAGUGCAGGAGAGGUAAGCGGAAUUCCUAGUGUAGCGGUGAAAUGCGUAGAUAUUAGGAGGAACACCAGUGGCGAAGGCGGCUUACUGGACUGUAACUGACGUUGAGGCUCGAAAGCGUGGGGAGCAA
rnacentral:rRNA from 1 species